ACGAAGGGGGCGAGCGCUGUUUGGAAUCACUGGGCGUAAAGGGCGCGUAGGCGGCCACCGCAAGUCGGUUGUGAAAUCUCUGGGCUUAACCCAGAAAGGUCAACCGAUACUGCGGGGCUGGAGUGCAGAAGGGGCAACUGGAAUUCUCGGUGUAGCGGUGAAAUGCGUAGAUAUCGAGAGGAACACCUGCGGCGAAGGCGGGUUGCUGGGCUGACACUGACGCUGAUGCGCGAAAGCUAGGGGAGCGAACGGGA
rnacentral:rRNA from 1 species